rnacentral:misc_RNA from 1 species
UCCGAGUUGUCCCCGGCAGUCCCCUUAGAGUCCCCGGCAUUACCCGCUGGCAACUAAGGGCAGGGGUUGCGCUCGUUGCGGCACUUAAGGCAACACCUCACGGCACGAGCUGACGACAGCCAUGCACCACCUGUGCGGGCUCCGAAGAGCACCGUGUUUCCACGGUUUCACCCCGCAUGUCAAGCCCAGGUAAGGUUCUUCGCGUUGCGUCGAAUUGAACCACAUGCUCCGCUGCUUGUGCGGGUCCCCGUCAAUUCCUUUGAGUUUUAACCUUGCGGCCGUACUCCCCAGGCGGCUGACUUAAUGCGUUAGCGGCGGCACGGAAGGGGUCGAUACCUCCCACACCUAGUCAGCAUCGUUUACAGCUAGGAUUAC